UUCAAGGUCUCAAACUGAUGGAUGGACAUUGUCCUGUCGUCUCGAGAUCUUCAGCCAGAGAGCCGAGUUCAUGGUCCCAUCAGCUGUGCAUCUUCCAUCAGCUUUGACCAGAUUCCACUUCCCUGAAAACACCCCACAGGACGAGGAAAGCUCAAAUGCUUCUACAAUGACAUCAUCCAGUCUGAUAUAACCCAACAUUAACAGUCACUCUGGGACCACCGACUUCCCAGCAGGACCAGCAUAGGAUGGCCUAACCCUGUGACGUCAUGCUCUAUCAUCUACCUCUGCUAUUGACUGGGAAAUAUAA